CCAAAGGCUCUUUUCAGAGCCACCACGUUCUCAGGAGAAGCAGCUGU
rfam:Oryctolagus cuniculus unplaced genomic scaffold chrTn0049, whole genome shotgun sequence.